ACGCUCGACACCUACGGGAGGUAGCAGUGGGGAAUAUUGCACAAUGGGGGAAACCCGUGAUGCAGCAACGCCGCGUGAAGGAAGACGGUUUUCGGAUUGUAAACUUCUGUUCUUAGUGAAGAUAGUGACGGUAGCUAAGGAGCAAGCCACGGCUAACUACGUGCCACAGCCGCGGUAAUCUGAGCGGGCUGGCAAGGC
rnacentral:rRNA from 1 species